rnacentral:rRNA from 1 species
UACGUAGGGGGCAAGCGUUGUCCGGAUUUAUUGGGCGUAAAGAGCGUGUAGGCGGCCAGGUAGGUGGGUUGUGAAAACUGGAGGCUCAACCUUCAGAGGUCGACCCAAACCCCCUGGCUAGAGUCCGGAAGAGGAGAGUGGAAUUCCUGGCGUAGCGGUGAAAUGCGCAGAUAUCAGGAAGAACACCCGUGGCGAAGGCGGCUCUCUGGGACGGUACUGACGCUGAGACGCGAAAGCGUGGGGAGCGAACAGG